rnacentral:rRNA from 1 species
CACGUAGGGCGCGAGCGUGGUCCGGAAUUAUUGGGCGUAAAGAGCUCGUAGGCGGCCUGUUGCGUCCGCUGUGAAAGCCCGGGGCUUAACCCCGGGUCGGCAGUGGAUACGGGCAGGCUAGAGGUAGGUAGGGGAGAAUGGAAUUCCCGGUGUAGCGGUGAAAUGCGCAGAUAUCGGGAGGAACACCGGUGGCGAAGGCGGUUCUCUGGGCCUUACCUGACGCUGAGGAGCGAAAGCGUGGGGAGCGAACAGG